UGGGGAAUAUUGGACAAUGGGGGAAACCCUGAUCCAGCAAUGCCGCGUGGAUGAUGAAGGCCUUCGGGUUGUAAAAUCCUUUUGGCGGGGACGAUGAUGACGGUACCCGCCGAAUAAGCUCCGGCUAACUUCGUGCCAGCAGCCGCGGUAAUACGAAGGGAGCUAGCGUUGUUCGGAAUUACUGGGCGUAAAGGGCGCGUAGGCGGCGUCGAUAGUCGGGCGUGAAAUGCCUGGGCUCAACCCAGGAAUUGCGCUCGAUACUCCGAUGCUUGAGUGUGGGAGAGGAUAGUGGAAUUCCCAGUGUAGAGGUGAAAUUCGUAGAUAUUGGGAAGAACACCAGCGGCGAAGGCGGCUAUCUGGACCACAACUGACGCUGAGGCGCGAAAGCGUGGGGAGCAAACAGG
rnacentral:rRNA from 1 species